UACGUAGGGUGCAGGCGUUAAUCGGAAUUACUGGGCGUAAAGCGUGCGCAGGCGGUCUACUAAGACAGGUGUGAAAUCCCCGGGCUUAACCUGGGAACUGCGCUUGUAACUGGUAGGCUUGAGUGUGGCAGAGGGGGGUGGAAUUCCACGUGUAGCAGUGAAAUGCGUAGAGAUGUGGAGGAACACCGAUGGCGAAGGCAGCCCCCUGGGCUAACACUGACGCUCAUGCACGAAAGCGUGGGGAGCAAACAGG
rnacentral:rRNA from 1 species